AUUCUCAAGCUGAUGAAGUGAGUGAUGGAGUGGGUUGCCAACUAUAGUUACUCCACUCAGUGCAGAAUGGCUGCAGGGAAUAAAUUCAGACAUGCCCAAAGAAAUCUGCCCAGGGUGAAACAAAUAUGUUUCAGGUUUAAAUCAGAAAGGAAGCAGAGGCUGUUUCUACAGGUGUCAUAGAAACAUCAAUACUGAGCCACGGAUUACUGGAUCCCAUAGAACUAUGGAGACUUGGCAGUGAAAUUCUUCUAAAGGCAGACGGUGUUCCUAGGUUUGGAAGUAUAAAUCCCAGGGGAAGUAAACUGAAGAACAUUUUAUGCAUCACUCAUUCUAUUAUGAGCCCUCUGAUGUUCCAUCUCUCUACAAGAUUGGCCAAACCAAUGUCAACAAUUGUUUACAAUUUGUACUCUAACUUUAGAUCAUCCUGUUAAUAUCCUAACUGAUUAUCGUGAAGGACAAAGUUCAAUAAGAUAGACUAUUAGAAGUCUGAUACUGUAUUAUUAAUAAAAUAACAUGAAAAAUACAACAUUCUGGAUGUCCCAUCUGAUGAGUUGACAGUUAAAGAACAGAAACAGAGCAGUAAGACUGCAUGGCUACAUUUUCCCAGUGCCACCAACUGGGAGUUAAGCUGACUAACAUUUGAAAACCCAGCCCAUUUCGAUCACAGCAGGCAUGGCAGCGGUUGACUGAUUGUACCCACCAGCUGGCUAAUAUCAUAAUUAACAAAGUUGCUACUACAUUCGCAAAGUUUAAUAAAAAAAAUUUGCCAAUGAUAUGAUGGCAUUGUCACAAAGAUCACAAGGGACACGGAGUCGACUUUUGCUCAAUGUGGAACGGCAAAACUGUAUAAGGCAAGAUAAGAAAUCGUGAACUUGUUCGGCCAAAGGAGGCUAAUAACGAAGGGGCCAGGGAAGGAGGCCAGUGCUACGAGGGUUAUCUCACAGCCUCAGAUGCUGGAUAAGUCCAAGGAGGCAGAAUCGCUUUUGGAUGACAUUCAGAAAGGCCGGAGUGAUUAUUUGGAAGAGAAAAGCCUGCCUAUUCUUUUCCAAGGU